CUACGGGUGGCUGCAGUAGGGAAUUUUCGACAAUGGGGGGAACCCUGAUCGAGCAAUGCCGCGUGAAUGAAGAAGGUCUUCGGAUUGUAAAGUUCUUUUAUUGGAGAAGAACGGUACCUAUAGGAAAUGAUAGGUAAGUGACGGUAUCCAUUGAAUAAGCCCCGGCUAACUACGUGCCAGCAGCCGCGGUAAUACGUAGGGGGCGAGCGGUAUCCGGAAUUAUUGGGCGUAAAGAGUGCGUAGGCGGUUUGUUAAGUCACUUGUAAAAGAUCUCAGCCCAACUGAGUAGGGCGAGUGAAACUGGCAGACUUGAAUACGGUAGAGGUAAGUGGAAUUCCAUGUGUAGCGGUGGCAUGCGUAGAUAUAUGGAGGAACACCAAUGGCGAAGGCAACUUACUGGGCCGGAAUUGACGCUGAGGCACGAAAGCGUGGGGAGCAAACAGGAUUAGAUACCCUCGUAGUC
rnacentral:rRNA from 1 species